GCUGAAACAACUAAUCGAUUUAAUCGAUUAUAAUCGAUUAUUAAAAUAGUUAACAACUUUUUUAGUCAUCGAUUAGUUGUUUAAUAAUCAUAUUUUACCGCAUAAAGUCUAUUUUUUACCACAAUCUGACAUUGGUUACAAUCUGUUAAAUUUGCCGCCAGUGUGUGGCAGUAAUGAGCCACUGAUCUACCAGUGGGGCCGUAGAAGAAGAAAUUAGCCAAUAAGUGCCCUCGGAUUUCAUGACGUAUCACGUUACUGACGCGCAUCUUGCUGUGAGAGAUGGCGGAUCAACAACAAAUACGGAAGAAAAAUAGAAGCGACAAAACAAGAGAAACCCCGGACAAAAACCUCACGAGUAUGGGAGCACUUCACUAGAUGCCUUGAAAAGACCGGUGACCUACAAAAUAUGCAAAAACCAUGGCACGACGGAAGCACGACGUCCCUAAGUGAACAUUUGAAAUGAAAACAUGGGGGCUGAUGCAGCAGAGGAAAGUCCGAAAAAAACAAGCAACGAUGGACAACUACAUGGGGAACAAGACACUCACCCCCAGCAAUGCAUACCACUUACAAACUCUAUUCCAGAUUCUACAUUAUUUUUUAUGGAAUUUACCUCUUAUAUUUUGAUGCCAAAAAAUUAUUCUGGACUGAUAUUUUGCACUGUUUAGCUCAUUUUACACUGCUGACUGUGGUCAUGUGCAAUAAAAUAGAUUGCAGUCAACUGCACAA